rnacentral:rRNA from 1 species
AUUGAACGCUGGCGGCAGGCCUAACACAUGCAAGUCGAACGCGUGGCGGACGGGUGAGUACUGUCUGGGAAACUGCCUGAUGGCGGGGGAUAACUACUGGAAACGGUAGCUAAUACCGCAUACCAUCAGAUGUGCCCAGAUGGGAUUAGCUAGUUGGUGGGGUAACGGAUCACCAAGGCGACGCUCCCUAGCUGGUCUGAGAGGAUGACCAUCCACCCUGGAGCUGAGACACGGUCCAGCCUCCUACGGGAGGGAGCAGUGGGGAAUGUUGAACAGUGGGCGGAAGCCUGAUGCAGCCAUGCCGGGUGUAUGAAGAAGGCCUGCGGGUUGGAAAGUACUUUCAGCGGGGAGGCGUUACCCGCAGAAGAAGCACCGGCUAACUCCGUGCCAGCAGCCGCGGUAAUUC